rnacentral:rRNA from 1 species
UGUAAGCGUAUACCAAAGUUGUUGCAGUUAAAACGCUCGUAGUCGGAAUUUGGCAGUUCCGGAUGUGUGCACGUCGUGUGCGCACUUCGCGGGGAUUGCUUUUGUGGUCUUGCGUAGGAUGAGGCACUUUUAUUAGUGAACGUCCUCACGCAACCACUUUUUACUGUGAGAAAAUCAGAGUGCUCAAAGCAGGCAUUUGCCGUGAAUGUAUUAGCAUGGAAUAAUAGAAUAGGACUUGGUUCUAUUUUGUUGGUUUGUUGGGACUGAGUAAUGAUUAAGAGGGACAGUUGGGGGCAUUUGUAUUUCGGUGCUAGAGGUGAAAUUCUUAGAUUACCGAAAGACAAACUGCUGCGAAAGCGUUUGCCAAGGAUGUUUUCAUUGA